rnacentral:rRNA from 1 species
GAUGAACGCUAGCGAUAGGCUUAACACAUGCAAGUCGAGGGGCAGCAUGGUCUUAGCUUGCUAAGACUGAUGGCGACCGGCGCACGGGUGCGUAACGCGUAUGCAACUUGCCUCACAGAGGGGGAUAACCCGUCGAAAGACGGACUAAUACCGCGUACACUUGGGAUAGGGCAUCCUGACCCAAGGAAAUGAAAUUCGCUGUGAGAUAGGCAUGCGUCCCAUUAGCUAGUUGGUGAGGUAACGGCUCACCAAGGCGACGAUGGGUAGGGGAACUGAGAGGUUGAACCCCCACACUGGUACUGAGACACGGACCAGACUCCUACGGGAGGCAGCAGUGAGGAAUAGUGGUCAAUGGGCGAGAGCCUGAACCAGCCAAGUCGCGUGAAGGAUGACUGUCUUAUGGAUUGUAAACUUCUUUUAUACGGGAAUAACAAGAGCCACGUGUGGCUCCCUGCAUGUACCGUAUGAAUAAGCAUCGGCUAACUCCGU